AAAGCUUGCUUUUGAUGGGCGUCGACCGGCGCACGGGUGAGUAACGCGUAUCCAACCUGCCCACCACUUGGGGAUAACCUUGCGAAAGUAAGACUAAUACCCAAUGACGUCUCUAGAGGACAUCUGAAAGAGAUUAAAGAUUUAUCGGUGAUGGAUGGGGAUGCGUCUGAUUAGCUUGUUGGCGGGGUAACGGCCCACCAAGGCUACGAUCAGUAGGGGUUCUGAGAGGAAGGUCCCCCACAUUGGAACUGAGACACGGUCCAAACUCCUACGGGAGGCAGCAGUGAGGAAUAUUGGUCAAUGGACGAGAGUCUGAACCAGCCAAGUAGCGUGCAGGAUGACGGCCCUAUGGGUUGUAAACUGCUUUUAUAAGGGAAUAAAGUGAGUCUCGGUGAGACUUUUUGCAUGUACCUUAUGAAUAAGGACCGGCUAAUUCCGUGCCAGCAGCCGCGGUAAUACGGAAGGUCCGGGCGUUAUCCGGAUUUAAUGGGUUUAAAGGGAGCGUAGGCCGGAGAUUAAGCGUGUUGUGAAAUGUAGAUGCUCAACAUCUGCACUGCAGCGCGAACUGGUUUCCUUGAGUACGCACAAAGUGGGCGGAAUUCGUGGUGUAGCGGUGAAAUGCUUAGAUAUCACGAAGAACUCCGAUUGCGAAGGCAGCUCACUGGAGCGCAACUGACGCUGAAGCUCGAAAGUGCGGGUAUCGAACAGGAUUAGAUACCCUGGUAGUCCGCACGGUAAACGAUGGAUGCCCGCUGUUGGUCUGAAUA
rnacentral:rRNA from 1 species